AGUUAUAAACUUAAUGAAAUAAGCUUAUGUUUUGAAGUCAUAAUGAAAGGGUUAAAAUCCCUUAUUAACUU
rnacentral:tRNA from 1 species